GCUGAAGAACGCAGCGAAAUGCGAUACUUGGUGUGAAUUGCAGAAUCCCGUGAACCAUCGAGUCUUUGAACGCAAGUUGCGCCUCAAGCCAUUAGGUUGAGGGCACGUCUGCCUGGGCGUCACAUAUCGUUGCCUGAUGCCAGUUUCCUCGUGAUGGGUGACUGUGCAGGGCGAAUGAUGGCUUCCCGUGAGCAUUGUUGCCUCAUGGUUGGUUGAAAAUUGAGUCCUUGGUAGGGAGCGCCGUGAUAGAUGGUGGUUGAGUGACGAACGAGACCCAAUCAUGUGAGACCCCUACCGAAUUUGGCCUUCAUGACCCACAUGCGUCUUUGGAACGCUCAUGACGAGACCUCAGGUCAGGCGGGGCUACCCGCUGAGUUUAAGCAUAUCAAUAAGCGGAGGA
rnacentral:misc_RNA from 1 species